rnacentral:rRNA from 1 species
UACAGAGGGGGCAAGCGUUAUUCGGAAUUAUUGGGCGUAAAGGGCGCGUAGGCGGCUUGGCAAGUGGAUGGUGAAAUCCCUCGGCUUAACCGAGGAACUGCCAUCCAGACUGCUUUGCUUGAGGCCGGGAGAGGUGAGUGGAAUUCCCAGUGUAGCGGUGAAAUGCGUAGAUAUUGGGAGGAACACCAGUGGCGAAGGCGGCUCACUGGACCGGUUCUGACGCUGAGGCGCGAAAGCGUGGGGAGCGAACAGG